rnacentral:RNase_P_RNA from 1 species
CGAGUCGGCAGGGCGAUCGCGGCCGUUGCGACGGCCGAGGAAAGUCCGGACUCCACAGGGCAUGACGCUGGGUAACACCCAGGCGGGGAGACCCGAUGGAUAGUGCAACAGAGAGCAGACCGCCGAUGGAGCGAACUCUUUGAGUUCGUUGGCGGAACCUCCGGUUCCGCUCGCGGAUUCGCGGUGAACGUUCACAGGCAAGGGUGAAACGGUGGGGUAAGAGCCCACCAGCGAUUCGGGUGACCGGGUCGGCUAGGUAAACCCCGUCAGGAGCAAGACCGAGCAGGGAUAGGGCUGCCCGCCCGCUACAUCCCGGGUAGGUCGCUUGAGGCCGUGCGGUAACGCCGGUCCCAGAUAGAUGAUCGUCCACGACAGGAUCCGGCUUACAUGCCGACUCGCAUU